UACAGAGGGUGCUAGCGUUGUUCGGAAUCAUUGGGCGUAAAGGGCGUGUAGGCGGUUUGCUAAGUCAUGUGUGAAAUCCCUCGGCUCAACCGGGGAACGACGCAUGAAACUGGCAAGCUAGAGUACCAAAGAGGGGGGUGGAAUUCCCGGUCGUAGCGGUGAAAUGCGUAGAUAUCGGGAGGAACACCUGUGGCGAAAGCGGCGCACUGGACCAUAACUGACGCUGAGGCGCGAAAGCGUGGGAGCGAACAGG
rnacentral:rRNA from 1 species